GUUGCUUCACAAUGGUGAAACCUCUUCUUUCAAGUAAGAGGAUUUCAAGUUUCCCGAAGCAUAAAUCAAACCUAAAAAACCAGUCUUAAACAACGUUGUGUAAUUUUAACUACACUAUGUUACCUGUCUACUGGUACAUUC